rnacentral:rRNA from 1 species
AGUGAACGCUGGCGGUAGGCCUAACACAUGCAAGUCGAACGGCAGCACAGGAGAGCUUGCUCUCUGGGUGGCGAGUGGCGGACGGGUGAGGAAUACAUCGGAAUCUACUCUGUCGUGGGGGAUAACGUAGGGAAACUUACGCUAAUACCGCAUACGACCUACGGGUGAAAGCAGGGGACCUUCGGGCCUUGCGCGAUUGAAUGAGCCGAUGUCGGAUUAGCUAGUUGGCGGGGUAAAGGCCCACCAAGGCGACGAUCCGUAGCUGGUCCGGGAGGAUGAUCAGCCACACCGGAACUGAGACACGGUCCAGACUCCUACGGGAGGCAGCAGUGGGGAAUAAUGGACAAUGGGCGCAAGCCUGAUCCAGCCAUACCGCGUGGGUGAAGAAGGCCUUCGGGUUGUAAAGCCCUUUUGUUGGGAAAGAAAUCCAGCUGGCUAAUACCCGGUUGGGAUGACGGUACCCAAAGAAUAAGCACCGGCUAACUUCGUGCCAGCAGCCGCCGUAA